rnacentral:tRNA from 1 species
UCGGGUGUGGUGUAAUUGGCAGCACUGCGGUUUUUGGUGCCGUAUGUUCAGGUUCGAGUCCUGACACCCGAG